UUAGAAUUUCAAACUCUCCAGCUAGCAAUAUAUUAAUGGGUUGGUUUAUUGUGCAUGCAUAAAUUAAGGUUGGCAGUAGAAAAAUAUAAUGUGAAAGAAUGACUGCAGGUAUGUAAAUUCUGGACAACAUUAAAUGAAGUCAAAGAUGAUGGCUCCAGAUUUAUUAGUUGUAGCAGCAGAAAUACAAAGCUGGAGUAUUAGAUAAGAAUAGCUGGGUGAAACAUCUGAUUGAUGAGAAGGUGAUGCAGCUGCUUAAAAGAUUAUGGCUGAUAUUGAAUGCUUAAUACAUAAGUAAUAACUAACAGCUGCAACAUAACCUUGGAGUAAAUGUGGUACGAGUAAAAAUUGGUGGGCGUACAUGAGAAUUUGAGAAACAAAGGCGGCCAAAGUAUUCUGUCUAAUAUUCACACCAGGAGGAGUAAAUACUACAGGUCAUGGUCCAAAUUGCAGGCUGUAAAAUUAAAUAUUCUGUGAUGUAUGCAGUGAUGUUAUAUUGUAUGUGUCUGCCCUAUAAAUUAGGACUUGUAGCUGCAUGCAAAUAUAGAUAGUAUCGAGUUAACUUAGAACUCAGCAGAGUAGAGAGAAAGAGAGAAAAAAUACACAGAAGUGAGAAAAAGAGCUGAAGCUCUUAUUGCAUGCUGUAGCCUGAGUUUGUUAUAAAAAGAAGCCGUAGCUUUAUUUACUAAAACAGUGUGUUAGAGUUUAUUUUUCUGUUAAAUCAUUAGUAUAUUAUUUUAUAUAUUUAGUGUGUGAAGCUCACCACGUUUCCAACAAGUGGCAUCAGAGCUAGGUUAUUUCGGAGAAAAAAAAAAUGUCAAAUAUGAUGGUGCAACCACAAAUCCCGAGGUUGACGGCAACAAAUUACGGGAACUGGAGUAUCCAAAUGAAGGUGUUACUCGGUUCAUACGAUAAUUGGGAUAUUGUCGAAAGUGGGUUUGACGAGCCCGAGGAUGAAGCUGUUCUUUCUGAUGCGGAGAAAACGGCGUUUAAAGAUUCCAAGAAAAAAGACCAAAGGGCGUUAUAUACAAUUAUUCAAGGAGUUGAUGAAUCAACCUUUGAAAAAAUUUCAAAUGCAAAAACGGCGAAAGACGCGUGGGAGAUUCUGCAGAAAUCAUUCCAGGGUGUCGAGAAAGUCAAAAAGGUUCGGCUCCAAGUUCUACGUGGGGAGUUCGAAAAUUUAAAGAUGAAGAGUUCCGAAAAUAUUGGUGAAUUUGUUACGCGUUUGAAAACGGUGACAAAUGAGAUGAAAAGAAAUGGAGAAAGUCUUGAUGAUGUUCGGGUCAUGGAAAAGUUGCUCCGUUCAUUAACAAGGAAAUUUGAUUAUGUUGUGACAUCCAUCGAGGAGUCAAAAGACUUGUCCACAAUUUCUAUUGAUGAGCUCGUAGGUUCCCUUCAAGCCCACGAGCAGCGAAUGAACCAGUAUGAUGAUGCAAGCCAUUUGGAAAAGGCGUUGCAAAGUAAGGUGUCCAUUGGUGACAGUUCUGGCAGUAGCAAUUCUGCACGUGGCAGAGGUGGCUUUAGAGGUGGCUACGGUGGUGGACGAGGACGUGGAAGGCAGUCCUUUAAUAGAGGCCAGAAUUCUGAAGGCUAUCAACCAUCUGGUCGUGGUCAAAAUUUCAGAGGCCGAGGACGAGGCGGAUAUCAACAACGAGGUGAUAAGUCUCAAUAUCAGUGCUAUAACUGUAAUAAAUAUGGUCAUUUCAGUUAUGAGUGUAGAGCCCCAAAGGUGGAAGAAAGAAGUCAUUUUGCUGAAGCAAAAGAAGAUAAAGAUGUUGGCUCUGCUAUGUUUCUCACUUACAAAGGAGAUGAAGGAGGCAAGAAAAAUACAUGGUAUCUUGACUCGGGAGCCAGCAAUCACAUGACUGGUCAUAAGGAAUUAUUCACGGAGAUAGACGACACCAUCAGCGGAGAAGUUACUUUUGGUGACUCGUCAAAGAUUCCGGUCAAAGGAAAAGGUACCGUCACGAUCAUGACAAAGAAAGGUGAAAAGAAAUAUAUAAAUGAUGUUUAUUAUAUUCCUGCAUUGAAAAAUAAUAUUAUCAGUCUUGGCCAACUGGUGGAGAAAGGAUAUAAUAUACAGAUGCAGGACAAUUCCCUCAUUAUCAGAAAUCAAGCUCAGGAAUUGAUUGCAAAUGUGGAGAUGUCGAAGAAUCGUUUGUUUACGCUUGAUAUGCAAACGAAGGUGCAAAAGUGCUUAAAGUCGGUCAUUAAAAAUGACUCAUGGUUGUGGCAUUUGAGAUAUGGUCAUCUUGGAUUUUCUGGCCUGAAAUUAUUGUCAAAGACAAAAAUGGUGGACGGUUUGCCAGAAAUCAAAGAACCAGAAAAUCUGUGUGAAGCGUGUGUAAAGGGGAAGCAACAUCGACAAAGUUUUCCCGUUGGAAAAUCAUGGAGAGCCAGGAGGCCAUUGGAGAUUGUUCACACAGAUAUUGCUGGUCCAUUUGAUAUCUCAUCACUUGGAGGUAAUAGAUAUUACCUAACAUUUAUUGAUGAUUUUAGCAGGAAAAGUUGGGUGUAUAUCAUCAAAGAAAAGUCGGAGGCUCUUGAUAAAUUCAAGGAGUUCAAAGCACUGGCGGAAAAGCAAAGUGGUCAUUAUUUGAAGGUACUCAGAUCAGACAGAGGAGGCGAGUAUACUUCUAAUCUGUUCAGAAGUUUUUGCAGAGCACAUGGAAUCAAUCAUCAGUUGACAACGGCCUAUACUCCUCAACAAAAUGGCGUUGCAGAAAGAAAGAAUCGCACUAUUCUUGACAUGGCAAGGAGCAUGGUGAAAGCAAAGCACUUGCCGAGAACCUUUUGGGCCGAAGCCGUUUUAUGUGCCGUUUAUUUGUUGAAUCGCUGUCCAACAAAAAGCGUCAGAAACAAAACUCCAAAUGAAGCAUGGAGUGGUAGCAAACCAUCAGUUGGACAUCUCAGAAUUUUUGGGUGUAUUGCAUAUGCCCAUGUUCCAGAUCAGAAAAGAAAUAAAUUGGAUGAUAAAGGCGAAAAGUGCAUCUUUACCGGAUAUGAUAAAAGGAGCAAGGCGUAUAGACUCUAUAAUCCCCUCACGAAGAAAUUAAUUAUUUCUCGAGAUGUUGAGUUCGAUGAAUCAGAUUACUGGAGAUGGAGCGAGGAGGAAAGAAAAGUUGCUGGGUUAUUUUUCAAUGAUGAUGAUGAUGACAAUGAUGACCCCAACAUAGAAGGUGACGAGGAUGAUAAUCAAACUCCUCCACAAAGUCCGAAUCAACAAACUCCCGCAUCAACACCAUCGGAUUCAAGUGGAAGCAGAAGUUCAGGGGGAGCACCAAGAAAAAUGCGGAGUCUGGAUAAUAUCUAUGAAGCUACAAGUCCGGUACAAACAACAUUUGAUUAUUCAUUAUUUUGUUUAAUGGCUGAAUGUGAUCCAGUUACAUUUGAGGAAGCUUCUGAAGAAAGCAAAUGGAACAAAGCCAUGGAUGAGGAAAUUGGUGCAAUUAAAAAGAAUGAUACAUGGGAGCUCACAGAUCUUCCAGAAGGACACAAAGCAAUUGGUGUCAAAUGGGUCUAUAAGACCAAGACGAAUCAGGAUGGAGAAGUGGAGAAAUACAAGGCGAGAUUGGUGGCUAAAGGCUACAAGCAGAGAUUCGGGAUUGACUAUGAUGAGGUAUUCGCUCCAGUUGCAAGAGUUGAUACCAUCAGACUUCUUACAGCAAUUGCCGCUCAGAAUCAAUGGAAGAUUUAUCAGAUGGACGUGAAGUCAGCAUUUCUAAAUGGUUAUCUCGAAGAAGAAGUCUACAUCGAGCAACCUCCAGGAUAUGUUCAGAAAGGCCAGGAAGAUAAAGUCUACCGGCUAAAGAAAGCAUUGUACGGUCUAAAACAAGCUCCGAGAGCGUGGAACACAAGGGUUGAUGAGUAUUUUCAGAAAAAUGGUUUUGUGAAGAGUCCAUACGAGCAUGCACUCUACACGAAAACAAAUUCAGGGGGAGAUAUUAUGAUCGUUUGCUUAUACGUGGACGACAUGAUAUUUACCGGAAACAAUCCUGGUAUGUUUGAUGAUUUUAAGAGAGUUAUGACUAACGAAUUUGAGAUGACAGAUAUCGGUCAAAUGUCGUACUUUCUUGGAGUCGAGGUGAAGCAAAGCAAAGACGGAAUUUUUAUAUCUCAGAAAAAGUAUGCCGAGCAGAUUUUGAAGAAGUUCAGAAUGGAAGAGUGUAAGCCAGUGAGCACGCCAGCAGAAGCAAGCAUAAAGCUCAGAAUUGAUUCAACGAGGGAGUCGGUAAAUCCGACAUUGUUCAAGAGUUUGGUUGGAAGUUUAAGGUACCUAACUUUCACUCGUCCGGAUAUUAUGUAUGCAGUCGGAUUAGUUAGUAGGUACAUGGAGAAGCCGAAGCAAGAUCAUUUCAUGGCGGCUAAAAGAAUUUUGAGAUAUAUUAAAGGUACACUUAAUAAUGGUUUGUUUUACACGCAUUCUCAAGAUUCAAAAUUAGUUGGCUACUCAGACAGUGAUUAUGGUGGAGAUUUGGAUGACGGGAAAAGCACAUCGGGAUAUGCUUUUCAUAUUGGCUCGGCGAUAUUCUCAUGGUCAUCAAAGAAGCAACAGACAGUCGCUCUCUCAACAUGUGAGGCGGAAUAUAUUGCAGCAGCAGGAGCAGCAUGUCAAGCUAUUUGGUUAAGCUAUAUUUUGGGCGAGUUAAAUCUUGUCAAGGAAGAACCGGUUACAAUUUACGUGGAUAACAAAUCCUCAAUUUCACUUGCGAAAAAUCCGGUGUCACACAGUCGCAGCAAGCACAUCAAUAUUAAAUAUCAUUUUCUUCGAGAACAAGUGAAUGAUAAAAUUGUAGAGUUGGUACACUGCAGGACGGAAGAAAAUCUAGCGGAUAUCUUCACGAAGUCAUUGAAGCCGGAAGUGUUUCAGAAAAUGAAAGAAAAGCUCGGAAUGCAAAGUCGAGUUUGAGGGGGAGUGUUAGAAUUUCAAACUCUCCAGCUAGCAAUAUAUUAAUGGGUUGGUUUAUUGUGCAUGCAUAAAUUAAGGUUGGCAGUAGAAAAAUAUAAUGUGAAAGAAUGACUGCAGGUAUGUAAAUUCUGGACAACAUUAAAUGAAGUCAAAGAUGAUGGCUCCAGAUUUAUUAGUUGUAGCAGCAGAAAUACAAAGCUGGAGUAUUAGAUAAGAAUAGCUGGGUGAAACAUCUGAUUGAUGAGAAGGUGAUGCAGCUGCUUAAAAGAUUAUGGCUGAUAUUGAAUGCUUAAUACAUAAGUAAUAACUAACAGCUGCAACAUAACCUUGGAGUAAAUGUGGUACGAGUAAAAAUUGGUGGGCGUACAUGAGAAUUUGAGAAACAAAGGCGGCCAAAGUAUUCUGUCUAAUAUUCACACCAGGAGGAGUAAAUACUACAGGUCAUGGUCCAAAUUGCAGGCUGUAAAAUUAAAUAUUCUGUGAUGUAUGCAGUGAUGUUAUAUUGUAUGUGUCUGCCCUAUAAAUUAGGACUUGUAGCUGCAUGCAAAUAUAGAUAGUAUCGAGUUAACUUAGAACUCAGCAGAGUAGAGAGAAAGAGAGAAAAAAUACACAGAAGUGAGAAAAAGAGCUGAAGCUCUUAUUGCAUGCUGUAGCCUGAGUUUGUUAUAAAAAGAAGCCGUAGCUUUAUUUACUAAAACAGUGUGUUAGAGUUUAUUUUUCUGUUAAAUCAUUAGUAUAUUAUUUUAUAUAUUUAGUGUGUGAAGCUCACCACGUUUCGAACAUAGUUAUCACAGCAGUCUGUUGCUUAUCACAACAGUCUGUUAGGAUGUAGGCUGAUUAGUUGAAUGAAUAAGACAAGUUAAGCUCUUUCUCAUUUUAUAUACAUACAAGUGCGUGCGCGUGUAGUGUGGUUUUUUUUCUUAUACUUGGUAUCAGAGCGUAGGAGGCUGCUGUUACACUCAGACUCGUGCCAGGAUGUAAUCAAGCAGAACAAAGGAGAACUCGAUCGGCCUAAGCUACCCGAUGCUGACUAAGACGAAUUAUACAGCGUGGGCUCUCAAGAUGAGAGUGUUCAUGCAGGCACACGGCAUUUGGGAGGCCAUUGAACGCAAAGACCCCAAAACUGUGACUGACGAGAAGAUGGACAAGAA
rnacentral:lncRNA from 1 species